rnacentral:rRNA from 1 species
GGGUGCGAUCAUACCAGCGUUAAUCGACCGGAUCCCAUCAGAACUCCGCAGUUAAGCGCGCUUGGGCUAGAGUAGUACUGGGAUGGGUGACCUCCCGGGAAGUCCUAGUGUUGCACCCUC